rnacentral:misc_RNA from 1 species
GGCUCAUCCAAAACUAUUUGAACAUAAAUUAAGAAUCCAUAACUGGGUUCCUUACGUUUUCUUACAGAACGAUCAAAUCUGGACAACCGGCACUAGGCUAAUUUUUUUUUUGGGCAAUUAAUAUUAUUAAAGCAUGCAAGUCUUAAUAAUGAACAAGACUAAAAGUCAAAAGGCGAAGCCGGACAUCUCUACAAAAAAAAAAAAAAGAAAGCUGAA